AACGAACGCUGGCGGCAGGCCUAACACAUGCAAGUCGAGCGAACCCUUCGGGGUUAGCGGCGGACGGGUUAGUAACGCGUGGGAAUAUACCCUUUGGUACGGAAUAGCCUCGGGAAACUGAGAGUAAUACCGUAUGUGCCCUUCGGGGGAAAGAUUUAUCGCCAAAGGAUUAGCCCGCGUUGGAUUAGAUAGUUGGUGGGGUAAUGGCCUACCAAGUCUACGAUCCAUAGCUGGUUUGAGAGGAUGAUCAGCAACACUGGGACUGAGACACGGCCCAGACUCCUACGGGAGGCAGCAGUGGGGAAUCUUAGACAAUGGGCGCAAGCCUGAUCUAGCCAUGCCGCGUGGACGAUGAAGGCCUUAGGGUUGUAAAGUCCUUUCAGAUGGGAAGAUAAUGACGGUACCAUCAGAAGAAGCCCCGGCUAACUCCGCG
rnacentral:rRNA from 1 species